rnacentral:lncRNA from 1 species
GCUCAGCAGACGACGUAGUUCUUGUGCUCUUCCCGCCUCGCCUUUCUUUUCUUGGUUUCAAUCCUGGUGUUGCAAGCCAAUUCCCGGGUCUUGUUAGGCGGGAAACACAGACUGCAUUACCCAUGUUUGAAACUGGAUUUGCGCGUUUGGGAAGCAAGAAUGGGGUUACUCUGCUGGAAAAGCUUGACAUUGCAAAUGAGGGAUUUUUACCCUACGGUUCCACAAGUUCCCACUAAGUAUCUGGUACGCGGAAGAGAGGGACAAGGAAGCACAGAGGCUCAGAACAGUUCGUUGUUCACCUCGUCUUUCUACCACAUAAUUCUGCCUCUAGAAAUACAGGAGAAAGAGUAGCCACGCAAAGCUUCUAGGAACUCCUGGGAGAAGCAUUCAUAAACUCUUAUUGCUGCCAGUUCAUCUUGGGGCCUUUCGGUGUGAAGAAAUGGAUCCUUAUCAAAUACUUUUGUGAAAGAACAUUUACAUCCUGCUUUAUUCCAGAAGAAAAGAUUUAAGUCACUUUGGUUACACAGGGAAAACCUGGAAGAGGGGAGAUACAGAAGAACCCAUACCUGCAUGGCCUGAAGACAGGCUAAAAGACUGAUGGGAGCUUGCGACCCUACAGAGUUGGAACCGCUCUGCGCUCACAGGCCUGGGAGCUUAGUGCCCAGUGGCCAGGGACCCCCCCUAGGAUUCCUUUGUGGAUCAAAGGCAAAGAAAGAAGGGCUUCUGAAGGCCUGGCACAGCUACAAGGAUUCUCCUGACAGUAUGGCACAUCUGUCUAGCACGUCAUGUUUCGGGGAAGCCUUUCCCAACGGUGUCAUGAGGCUGGCAGGGUGGGCAUUCUGUCCAUCAGCGAGGAGCAGAUGGAGAGCCAAAGAGGAUGAGUGAAUUGCCGACGCGCACGCCUGGUUCAGGAUCAGCAUCCAGGUCUCCUCAUUAAGUCCAGUGAGCUUUCAGCUCUGUCAUGCUGCCUCUUCUUCCCCAGAGGGCUUGGGAAACAUAAGCAACUGCCUACAGGAAAUAUGCUUCACCUUCCUCACAGACACGGCGUUCCAGAACCAGACUCCAUGGAAACAGAACACAGAGGGUGUGUACAUUCAUGUCUUCUAGACCCACUCCAGUUCUCAUCAGAAGCUGAUGAGCCACCCCACAGUUCACGGCGGGUCAGACCUAAUCCGUAUCCUCUUCAAAAUAGGCCAGAAAAAUGGAAUCACUGGAUAUCAGAAGAGAAAGGGAACCACAGAGUCUUGCUAGUCUAAUGCCUUUAUUUUAAGGAUGAAGAAAUAGCCUUUUGUUUUGUUUUUCAGAUUUAUUGAGAUAUAAUGUACAAAGUGGUAAGAUACUUAAAGUUACAACAUGAUUUUGAAACAACCUUGCCUUGUGAAAGGACUCCCCCAUCAUGUUAAUUACCCUGAUAAUCACUUCACAUAUUUACCUUUGUGUGUGUAUGUUUGAGAAUAUUUAAGUUCUACUCUCUCAGCAAAUUUCAAUUAUACAAAUACAGUGUUAUCAACUAUAGUCACCAUGUUAUACAGUAGAUCCUCAGACUUCAUUCAUCUUGUAACUAAAAGUUUACACAAUUUUGCUGACUUCUCCUAUUUCUCCUACCUCCAGUCCCUUCAACCAUUUUCUACACUCUGUUUCUUAGAGUUUUUUAAAGAUUUUACAUAUAAGUGAUACUAU